UACGUAGGGGGCAAGCGUUGUCCGGAAUCAUUGGGCGUAAAGAGCGCGUAGGCGGUCCGGUAAGUCGGUUGUGAAAACUGGGGGCUCAACCCUCAGAGGCCGACCGAUACUGCCGGGCUAGAGUCCGGAAGAGGCGAGUGGAAUUCCUGGUGUAGCGGUGGAAUGCGCAGAUAUCAGGAGGAACACCAAUAGCGAAGGCAGCUCGCUGGGACGGUACUGACGCUAAGGCGCGAAAGCGUGGGGAGCGAACAGG
rnacentral:rRNA from 1 species